UCUGUAGAAGCAUGUAGAGUGACUUGGUAGGCAAAUCCGCCAGGUUAGACUUAAGGUGUGACAUAUACUCGCAAGAGGAAUGCGCAAAUCCCACGCUGCCGAGAAAAGCUUCUAGCGGUAAAGUAGAGACUGCCCGUACUGGAAACCGACACAGGUGGUCAGGAUGAGAAAUCUAAAGCGGACAGGCUAACUCUCGUUAAGGAACUCUGCAAAAUGGCCCCGUAACUUCGGGAGAAGGGGUGCCUUUAGGCGUGA
rnacentral:rRNA from 1 species